AGUGAACGCUGGCGGCAGGCCUAACACAUGCAAGUCGAGCGGCAGCGCGGGGGCAACCCUGGCGGCGAGCGGCGGACGGGUGAGGAAUUCGUCGGAAUCUGCCUUUUUGUGGGGGAUAACGUAGGGAAACUUGCGCUAAUACCGCGUACGUCCUACGGGAGAAAGUGGGGGACCGCAAGGCCUCACGCAGAAAGAUGAGCCGACGACCGAUUAGCUAGUUGGUGGGGUAAAGGCCCACCAAGGCGACGAUCGGUAGCUGGUCUGAGAGGAUGAUCAGCCACACUGGGACUGAGACACGGCCCAGACUCCUACGGGAGGCAGCAGUGGGGAAUAUUGGACAAUGGGCGCAAGCCUGAUCCAGCCAUGCCGCGUGUGUGAAGAAGGCCUUCGGGUUGUAAAGCACUUUUGUCCGGAAAGAAAUCCCUGGAGCUAAUACCUUCGGGGGAUGACGGUACCGGAAGAAUAAGCACCGGCUAACUUCGUG
rnacentral:rRNA from 1 species